UGUGUGUGUGUGUGUGUGUGUGUGUGUAUAAAUUUAACUCAUUAAGACCCAGAGUACUUAAAUUGCUGAAUAUUACUUUAAAAUUUUUACAGAUGUUUGAAAAUAUGUUAAAAUGAAAAAAAGAUAUUAAAACUCCUUUA